rnacentral:rRNA from 2 species
GAACUAAGGGCGCACAGUGGAUGCCUUGGCACUAAGAGCCGAUGAAGGACG